rnacentral:rRNA from 1 species
AACUAACAAGGAUUCCCCUAGUAACUGCGAGUGAAGCGGGAAAAGCUCAAAUUUAAAAUCUGGCAGUCUUUGGCUGUCCGAGUUGUAAUCUAGAGAAGCAUUAUCCGCGUUGGACCGUGUACAAGUCUCCUGGAAUGGAGCGUCAUAGAGGGUGAGAAUCCCGUCUUUGACACGGACUGCCAGGGCUAUGUGAUGUGCUCUCAAAGAGUCGAGUUGUUUGGGAAUGCAGCUCAAAAUGGGUGGUAAAUUCCAUCUAAAGCUAAAUAUUGGCGAGAGACCGAUAGCGAACAAGUACCGUGAGGGAAAGAUGAAAAGAACUUUGGAAAGAGAGUUAAACAGUACGUGAAAUUGCUGAAAGGGAAACGCUUGAAGUCAGUCGCGUUGGCCAGGGAUCAACCUUGCUUCUUUGCUUGGCUUACUUUCUGGUUGACGGGUCAGCAUCAAUUUUGACUGUUGGAAAAAGUUCAAGGGAAUGUGGCAUCUUCGGAUGUGUUAUAGCCUUUGUUCGCAUACAUCAGUUGGGAUUGAGGAACUCAGCACGCCGAAAGGCCGGGUUUUAAACCACGUACGUGCUUAGGAUGCUGGCAUAAUGGCUUUAAUCGACCCGUCUUGAAACACGGACCAAGGAGUCUAACAUGCCUGCGAGUGUUUGGGUGGAAAACCCGAGUGCGUAAUGAAAGUGAAAGUUGAGAUCCCUGUCGUGGGGAGCAUCGACGCCCGGAUCUGACCUUUUGUGACGAUUCCGCGGUAGAGCAUGUAUGUUGGGACCCGAAAGAUGGUGAACUAUGCCUGAAUAGGGUGAAGCCAGAGGAAACUCUGGUGGAGGCUCGUAGCGAUUCUGACGUGCAAAUCGAUCGUCAAAUUUGGGUAUAGGGGCGAAAGACUAAUCGAACCAUCUAGUAGCUGGUC